GUUCAGGUAGCCAAGUUGGUUUAAGGCGUCGGUCUGCAAAACCGAAAAUCGUGGGUAGCUCCUCGCGGAUACG
rnacentral:tRNA from 1 species